rnacentral:rRNA from 1 species
UACGUAGGGGGCAAGCGUUGUCCGGAUUUAUUGGGCGUAAAGAGCGUGUAGGCGGCUAGGUAGGUCCGUUGUGAAAACUCGAGGCUCAACCUCGAGACGCCGGUGGAAACCAUCUAGCUAGAGUCCGGAAGAGGAGAGUGGAAUUCCUGGUGUAGCGGUGAAUGACGCAGAUAUCAGGAAGAACACCCGUGGCGAAGGCGGCUCUCUGGGACGUGACUGACGCUGAGACGCGAAAGCGUGGGGAGCGAACAGG